CAAUUCGGCCUCGCUUGUUUGUGAUUGCGCUAAACCUUCGGUCCUCAGCCGAGAACGCUCCAGCACCUCCGCGGAUCGCUCAUCUCUUGGCUGCCCUCCCACUGUUCCUGAUGUUAUUUUACUCCCCGUAUCCCCUACUCGUUCUUCACAAUUCUAUAGGUGAGUGGUUCCAGCUGGUGCCUGGCCUGCGUCUCUUGGAUGCUCUGAGGCUUCACUCCGUCUCCUGUUGCCCAUCACCUCGUCCCUGGGCCACCUGAUACCCCAGCCCAACAGCUAAGGUGUGGAUGGACAGUAGGGGGCUGGCUUCUCUCACUGGUCAGGGGUCUUCUCCCCUGUCUGCCUCCCGGAGCUAGGACUGCAGAGGGGCCCACCAUGGUGCUUGCAGGCCCCCUGGCUGUCUCGCUGUUGCUGCCCAGCCUCACACUGCUGGUGUCCCACCUCUCCAACUCCCAGGAUGUCCCCAGUGAGCCCAGCAGUGAGCAGCAGCUGUGCGCCCUGAGCGAGCACCCCACCGUGGCCUUUGAAGAUCUGCAGCCAUGGGUCUCUAACUUCACCUACCCUGGAGCCCGGGAUUUCUCCCAGCUCGCCUUGGACCCCUCCAGGAACCAGCUCAUUGUGGGAGCCAGGAACUACCUCUUCAGACUCAGCCUUGCCAAUGUCUCUCUUCUUCAGGCCACAGAGUGGGCCUCCAGUGAGGACACGCGCCGCUCCUGCCAAAGCAAAGGAAAGACUGAGGAGGAGUGUCAGAACUACGUGCGAGUCCUGAUCGUCACCGGCCGGAAGGUGUUCAUGUGUGGGACCAAUGCCUUUUCCCCCGUGUGCACCAGCAGACAGGUGGGGAACGUCAGCAGGACAAUUGAGAAGAUCAAUGGUGUGGCCCGCUGCCCCUACGACCCACGCCACAACUCCACAGCUGUCAUCUCCUCCCAGGGGGAGCUCUACGCGGCCACGGUCAUCGACUUCUCAGGUCGGGACCCUGCCAUCUACCGCAGCCUGGGCAGCCGGCCACCGCUUCGCACUGCCCAGUAUAACUCCAAGUGGCUCAAUGAGCCAAACUUCGUGGCAGCCUAUGAUAUUGGGCUGUUUGCAUACUUCUUCCUGCGGGAGAACGCAGUGGAGCAUGACUGUGGACGCACCGUGUACUCUCGCGUGGCCCGUGUGUGCAAGAAUGACGUGGGGGGCCGAUUCCUGCUGGAGGACACGUGGACCACAUUCAUGAAGGCCCGGCUCAACUGCUCCCGCCCGGGUGAGGUCCCCUUCUACUAUAACGAGCUGCAGAGUGCCUUCCACUUGCCGGAGCAGGACCUCAUCUACGGAGUUUUCACAACCAAUGUAAACAGCAUUGCGGCUUCUGCUGUCUGCGCCUUCAACCUCAGUGCUAUCUCCCAGGCUUUCAAUGGCCCAUUUCGCUACCAGGAGAACCCCAGGGCUGCCUGGCUCCCCAUCGCCAACCCCAUCCCCAAUUUCCAGUGUGGCACCCUGCCUGAGACCGGUCCCAACGAGAACCUGACGGAGCGCAGCCUGCAGGACGCGCAACGCCUCUUCCUGAUGAGCGAGGCUGUGCAGCCGGUGACACCCGAGCCCUGUGUCACCCAGGACAGCGUGCGCUUCUCACACCUCGUGGUGGACCUGGUGCAGGCUAAAGACACGCUCUACCAUGUACUCUACAUUGGCACCGAGUCGGGCACCAUCCUGAAGGCGUUGUCCACGGCGAGCCGCAGCGUCCGCGGCUGCUACCUGGAGGAGCUGCACGUGCUGCCCCCUGGGCGCCGCGAGCCCCUGCGCAGCCUGCGCAUCCUGCACAGCGCCCGCGCGCUCUUCGUGGGCCUGAGCGACGGCGUCCUGCGGGUCCCACUGGAGAGGUGCGCCGCCUACCGCAGCCAGGGGGCAUGCCUGGGGGCCCGGGACCCGUACUGUGGCUGGGACGGGAAGCAGCAACGUUGCAGCACGCUCGAGGACAGCUCCAACAUGAGCCUCUGGACCCAGAACAUCACCGCCUGUCCUGUGCGGAAUGUGACACGGGAUGGGGGCUUUGGCCCUUGGUCAUCAUGGCAACCAUGUGAGCACUUAGAUGGGGACAACUCAGGCUCUUGCUUGUGUCGAGCCCGAUCCUGUGACUCCCCUCGACCCCGCUGUGGGGGCCUUGACUGCCUGGGGCCAGCUAUCCACAUCGCCAACUGCUCUAGGAAUGGGGCGUGGACCCCGUGGUCAUCGUGGGCGCUGUGCAGCACGUCCUGUGGCAUCGGCUUCCAGGUCCGCCAGCGAAGUUGCAGCAACCCUGCUCCACGCCACGGGGGCCGCAUCUGCGUGGGCAAGAGCCGGGAGGAGCGGUUCUGUAACGAGAACACACCUUGCCCGGUGCCCAUCUUCUGGGCUUCCUGGGGCUCCUGGAGCAAGUGCAGCAGUAACUGUGGAGGCGGCGUGCAGUCGCGGCGUCGGGCCUGCGAGAACGGCAACUCCUGCCUGGGCUGCGGCGAGUUCAAGACGUGCAACCCCGAGGGCUGCCCGGAAGUGCGGCGCAAUACUCCCUGGACGCCAUGGCUGCCCGUGAACGUAACGCAGGGCGGGGCGCGGCAGGAACAGCGGUUCCGCUUCACUUGCCGCGCGCCCCUGGCCGACCCGCACGGCCUGCAGUUCGGCAGGAGAAGGACCGAGACGAGGACCUGCCCCGCGAACGGCUCCGGAGCCUGCGACACCGACGCCCUGGUGGAGGACCUCCUGCGCAGCGGGAGCACCUCCCCGCACACGAUGAGCGGGGGCUGGGCCGCCUGGGGCCCGUGGUCGUCCUGCUCCCGGGACUGCGAGCUAGGCUUCCGCGUCCGUAAGAGAACAUGCACUAACCCGGAGCCCCGCAACGGGGGCCUGCCCUGCGUGGGUGAUGCUGCCGAGUACCAGGACUGCAACCCCCAGGCUUGCCCAGUUCGGGGUGCGUGGUCCUGCUGGACCUCAUGGUCUCCAUGCUCAGCUUCCUGUGGUGGGGGUCACUAUCAACGCACACGUUCCUGCACCAGCCCUGCACCCUCUCCAGGUGAGGACAUCUGUCUCGGGCUGCACACGGAGGAAGCACUAUGUGCCACACAGGCCUGCCCAGGCUGGUCGCCCUGGUCUGAGUGGAGUACGUGCACUGAGGACGGAGCCCAGAGCCGAAGCCGGCACUGUGAGGAGCUCCUCCCAGGGCCCAGCGCCUGUGCUGGAAACAGCAGCCAGAGCCGCCCCUGCCCCUACAGCGAGAUUCCUGUCAUCCUGCCAGCUUCCAGCAUGGAGGAUGCCACCGACUGUGCAGGUAAAAGAAACCAGCCCUACCUCAUGCUGUGGUCCUCCCAGCCCUCCAGCACCCCACUCCAAAGUCUGGACUCUUUCCACAUCCUGCUCCAGACAGCCAAGCUUUGUUGGGGUCCCCACUGCUUUGAGAUGGGUUCAAUCUCAUCCACCUGGUGGCCACGGGCGUCUCCUGCUUCUUGGGCUCUGGGCUCCUGACCCUGGCAGUGUACCUGUCUUGCCAGCACUGCCAGCGUCAGUCCCAGGAGUCCACACUGGUCCAUCCUGCCACCCCCAACCACUUGCACUACAAGGGUGGAGGCACGCCGAAGAAUGAAAAGUACACACCCAUGGAGUUCAAGACCCUGAACAAGAAUAACUUGAUCCCUGAUGACAGAACCAACUUCUACCCAUUGCAGCAGACCAAUGUGUACACGACUACCUACUACCCAAGCCCCCUGAACAAACAUAGCUUCCGGCCUGAGGCCUCACCUGGACAACGGUGCUUCCCCAACAGCUGAUACCGCCGUCCUGGGGACUUGGGCUCCUUGCCUUCCUAAGGCACAGAGCAGGUGGAGAUGGGACAGUGGAGCCAGUUUGGUUUUCUCGCUCUGCACUAGGCCAAGAACUUGCUGCCUUGCCUGUGGGUGGUCCCAUCCGGCUUCAGAGAGCUCUGGCUGGCAUUGACCAUGGGGGAGAGGGCUGGCUUCAGGCUGGCAUAUGGCUGGCAUAUGGCUGCAGGUCCAGUUCAGCCCAGGUCUCUCAUGGUUAUCUUGCAACCCACUGUCACGCUGACCCUAAGCUGCGAUGCCUGGGCUGUGGACGUACUGGGCAUUUGAGGAAUUGAAGAAUGGAGAUGGCAAGAGGGCAGGCUUUUAGGUUUGGGUUGGAAACAACUUCCUGUGGCCCCCACAAGCUGAGUCUGGCCUUCUCCAGCUGACCCCAAAAACGGCCUGUGCUACAUCCUGAUGAUCUCUGAAAGUAAUCAAUCAAGUGGCUCCAGUAGCUCUGGAUUUUCUGCCAGGGCUGGGCCAUUGUGGUGCUGCCCGAGUGUGACACGGGACCAAGGUCAGCGCAGGUUGUCCACCUCUGCCUGGAAGUCUGUACUCUACCCAGGGCAUCCCUGGUCAGAGGCAGUGAGUACUGGGAACUGGAGGCUGGCCUAUGCUUAGAAGUCCUUUAAUCUGGGCUGGUACAGGCCUCAGCCAUGCCCUCAAUGCACGAAAGGUGGCCUAGGAGAGAGGCUCAAUGCCAUAGGAGGCAGAAGUCUGGUCUCUGUGCCUCUAUGGAGACUGUCUUCCAGUUGCUGCUCGACAAAGUUGUUGGCUGAGACCUGCUUGGGAGUCUCUUCUGGCCCUUCAUCUGUUCAGGAACACACACACACAUACACACACACACACACACAAUCACAAUUACAAUUUGCUACAGCAACAAAAAAGACAUUGGGCUGUGGCAUUAUUAAUUAAAGAUGAUAUCCAGUCUCCAAA